rnacentral:tRNA from 1 species
GGGCCUGUAGCUCAAUUGGCAUGUAGCAUCCUGCUCAUAACAGGAAGGUUGUGGGAUCGUGGCCCACCGGGCCCA